rnacentral:rRNA from 1 species
UUAAGAAUAUUCCGCAAUGGACGAAAGUCUGACGGAGCGACGCCGCGUGGAUGAAGAAUGCCGAAAGGUUGUAAAAUCCUUUUAAGCCUGAUGAAUAAGCACAAUAGGGAAUGAUUGUGCGGUGACCGUAGGGCUUGAAUAAGCACCGGCUAAUUACGUGCCAGCAGCCGCGGUAACACGUAAGGUGCGAGCGUUGUUCGGAAUUAUUGGGCGUAAAGGGCAUGUAGGCGGAUAGGCAAGCUUGGUGUGAAAUGUUACAGCUUAACUGUGAGACAGCAUUGAGAACUGCCGAUCUUGAAUUACUGAAGGGUAACCAGAAUUCCACGUGUAGGGGUGAAAUCUGUAGAUAUGUGGAAGAAUACCAAUGGCGAAGGCAGGUUACCGGCAGAUAAUUGACGCUGAGGUGCGAAAGUGCGGGGAGCGAACA